rnacentral:tRNA from 1 species
GCCUGUGUGGCUCAGUGGUUGAGCAUCAACCUAUGAACCAGGAGGUCACAGUUUGAUUCCUGGUCAGGCC